rnacentral:misc_RNA from 1 species
GCCCUUUGGAAGGGUUAGUUUUUGUGUUUGAAAUGUGAGGAUGUGUUUGGGUAAUUCUCUGGCCAAGGGUUGAGGAUGAAGAGCUGUUUGUGGGUAAUUUGGUGAAUGGUUUAGGCUGAUUCUGUAAGGCUGCUAUAGUCACCUCCUGCAAACGCGGCAGUAAGCCUCUGCCACUGACUUCAGCUUAAAUAUCCUUAUGGGGCAUUUUAAGUUCAUCUACCAGCCCUGAAAGAAAGAACCCUAAGGCUUGGUCUUCCUUAAUUUCAGCCUUAGGAUAUUACUUGUCAUAAGCAACAAGGCAAGUUGUAAAGAGCUUACCAGCUUCAAAUUGCGAAAAUCAGAAGGGGGU